rnacentral:lncRNA from 1 species
ACAGCCUCACUUGCGUCCAACUUCCAAGUACUCGUUGGAUCGACAAAGUUAACAAGAGAUAGAAACACAAUAACAAGAGCAUACUGCAUCAAUUACUGCCACGGUGUCAGCCCUAAUCCUAUGAAGCACUUGCAGUGCUGAGUUCAGUUCUGAGCCAAUAGGGUGGAUCAAGCAUAGGGCUAAACUGUAAAUACCAGCACUACUGAAGUCUCAACUUCAGUGACAAGAAAAGCAAGCAAACACGGUUUAGCCAUUGCCAGCCGGUGGCCAGUGAACUUGAUCUAUUGCUUCCCCUACCUGAAACCAAGGAAAGGAUAAUUACAAAGAAAACUUCAGUGUGUAGUGGAAGAGACACUUAAUUUGUUGUAUGUACAGAUACGACUUAAUUGACGUAACCUGUGAAGAAGUUAACCCAACUUCUCAUUCCUCAUUUUUGUCUCACAGAUGCAGUUGCUGCAGCUCUUCCUUCACGCCAUUGGCAGUCUCCUUUGCAGAACAUUAGUAUUAUACAGUACUAGCCAACGCAUAGAAGCUUCAGCCCAUCGGAUCAUCUAAUUCUCUUGUGGGUAACAAAAACUAGAUGAAUAUAGUAACUUACCAGUAUUUGUCACGCCAAUAUAGACUUUUUUUUUGCGGNNN